rnacentral:rRNA from 1 species
UCAUUCAUGAAUUAUGGUGUCUUCGGAUCCAAACCCUCAUAUAUCCUUUAAUACCUGUGAACCGUUUGCGAAAAAGGUCUUUGGCCUUUUUUUCGUACUACCUUUUUAAACAACGUCUAAGUAUGUCAUUUUAAAUAAAAUGGUCAAUCUGUGAAAGCAGGGCGACAAUUCUAACAAAAUACAACUUUUAGCAACGGAUCUCUUGGCUCUCACAUCGAUGAAGAACGCAGCGAAAUGCGAUAAGUAAUGUGAAUUGCAGAUUCAGUGAACCAUCGAAUUUUUGAACGCACCUUGCACUUUUUGGUAUUCCGAAAAGUAUGCCUGUUGGAGUGUCUUGACAAUCUCAAAUCCAUUUGGUUUUAUUAUCAAAUGUGACUUGGUGUUGAGCUUGCCGGUGUUUUGAUGCAUCGGCUUGCUUUAAAGUGAUUAGCUGGCAGUAUCUAUGGUGACUCAUCCAGUACCUGAGCGUAAUAAUUAUUUCGUUCAUGGUCAGAGUCGUUCAGCCUGGAUUACAAGUCGCUUCCAAUCCUUUCAAUUUAUUUUUGAUUUAAUCAAAACCAUUGAAAACCCCACUUUGUAAAUCAGACCUCCAAUCAGGUAGGACUACCCGCUGAACUUAAGCAUAUCAAUAAGCGGAGGAAAAGAAACUAACAAGGAUUCCCCUAGUACGGCGAGUGAAGCGGGAUGAGCUCAAAUUUUGAAUCUCACUGUCUCAGACAUGUGCGAAUUGUAAUCUAGAGAAGUGUUUUCCGUGCUGGCCUACGUACAAGUCCCUUGGAAUAGGGCGUCAUAGAGGGUGAGAAUCCCGUCCUUGACGUAGACUACCAGUGCUAUGUGAUACACUUUCAAAGAGUCGAGUUGUUUGGGAAUGCAGCUCAAAAUGGGUGGUAAAUUCCAUCUAAAGCUAAAUAUUGGUGAGAGACCGAUAGCGAACAAGUACCGUGAGGGAGAGAUGAAAAGCACUUUGAAAAGAGAGUGAAAUAGAACGUGAAAUUGCUAAAAGGGAAACGCUUGAAGUCAGUCGCGCCGGCCAGAAUUCAGCCUUUGGGUGUAUUUUCUGGUUGGCGGGUCAGCAUCAGUUUCGUUCGAGGUAAAAGGGUGAGAGAAAUGUAGCUUUUCGGAGUGUUAUAGUCUUUUAUCGUAUGCCUGGGACGGGACUGAGGAACGCAGCAUGCCCGCAAGGGCCGGUCUUCGGACACGUACAUGCUUAGGAUGCUGGCAAAAUGGCUUUAAACGACC